GACGAACGCUGGCGGCGUGCCUAAUACAUGCAAGUCGAACGCUGAAGGAGGAGCUUGCUUCUCCGGAUGAGUUGCGAACGGGUGAGUAACGCGUAGGUAACCUGCCUCGUAGCGGGGGAUAACUAUUGGAAACGAUAGCUAAUACCGCAUAAGAGUAGAUGUCGCAUGACAUUUGCUUAAAAGUUGCAACUGCACCACUACCAGAUGGACCUGCGUUGUAUUAGCUAGUUGGUGAGGCAACGGCUGACCAAGGCAACGAUACAUAGCCGACCGGGGAGGGGGGUCGGCCACACUGGGACUGAGACAGGGCCCAGAGGCCUGCGGGAGGCAGCAGUAGGGAAUCUUCGGCAAUGGACGGAAGUAUGACCGAGCAACGCCGCGGGAGUGAAGAAGGGUUUCGGAUCGGAAAGAUCGGUUGUAAGAGAAGAACGAGUGUGGGAGUGGAAAGUUCACACUGUGACGGUAUCUAAACAGAAAGGGACGGCUAACUACGUG
rnacentral:rRNA from 1 species